rnacentral:rRNA from 1 species
CGGACGGGUGAGUAACGCGUGAGUAACCUGCCUUACACAAGGGGAUAGCCGUUGGAAACGACGAAUAAUACCCUAUGACAUAAACUCUUCGCAUGAGGAGCUUAUCAAAGAUUUAUCGGUGUAAGAUGGACUCGCGUCUGAUUAGCUAGUUGGUGAGGUAACGGCCCACCAAGGCGACGAUCAGUAGCCGGCUUGAGAGAGUGUACGGCCACAUUGGGACUGAGACACGGCCCAGACUCCUACGGGAGGCAGCAGCC